AUGAAAAGAAGUUGAAUCUAUAUUGAUAUAGGUUAGAAAUCAAGGGAUUAUCUCAUUGUAACCAAUAUAAGUGACUAACUCACCUAAGUGAGUCUAUGUCAUGUUUUUUAGAUUGCAGAUUUUCUCUAGUAGCUGCCUGCCUUAGUCACAUUUAAGAAGAUGGUUGCCUCAUUUUUACUCUCCUUCAUCUUUUAUGAUCCACGUGUGUCUUCAUCCACACCACAGAGGAAAUCUUGGCAAUAUGAUAGAGGACUGGGAAUGAUGGCGGUGAUAUCAGCCGUAGCUACAGAGUCCACAGAGCUCUGCAACUUAGUUGGGAAAUACUGAAGAGAUCAGGCCAAGAGGGUGAAGUAAGAAACACUUGAAGCCCAUCAGCCACCCUCCAAAUGGUUACAGUAGAACAAAAACACCUCAAAAUGAAUACCUGAGCAGCAGAACCGACAGAAGUAGUGAAGUGGGGUUCUUGCCCAGAACAAUAUGAGAGAUAGCAAGGACUCACCUCAAGGGGGAAUGAGGAGAGAGCACUGAACAAGCAUCAGCAGGAUUCAGAUGCAAUACAGCACAGGCUACAAGAAAAAGAGUACAGCCAGCAUAGUCCAGCCACAACAGGAUAAGAGCAAUAAUCAACACAAUAUCAAACAAACAGCAAUGGGAGGAAAGUGGCCCAACAGGAUCCAGUCUUGGUGGGAUUAGGCAGAACCCAACUCCAAUCAGCCAAACAACAUCUGCAAACCUCCAUAGAGCAAGCCAACCAGGCCACCUCUGAGGAGUGCUCAAUCUGAGACCUGGACAGCUAAGAUGAUCUAGGCACAGUACAAGUAAGGGACAGUACUUCCUUUACUCCAGAAAUGGAGCUAAGCUUCAGCAUAUAGACAAAAUCAAGGGGGAAAAAAAUAACUUCCAUGAGCAGAAGAUAGAGAAAAAGCCUAGCACUAGAAAAAAUAUUUCAACAAGACAGAUGAUAUACAAAAUACAAGCUCAGAAGAGGAGAGUAAUACAAAAAUGAAAACAUGUGAAGGCUCAAAGAAAAAUGUGAAAAAAUGUCAAGGCCAAAAUGAACCCCUGAAUUAAGCCAAAAAUAAAAAAGAAUGGGAAAACA
rnacentral:lncRNA from 1 species